AGGAGGAAUUCAUCAUACAUAUUUCUCUCUCUUGGCUAAGAGGCUCCGGUCUCCUUCUCCAAAAAUAAAAAUAAGAAAAUUUCUAUGUAAUUUUUAGGCCAUAUUUCAGGGAGAAUUUACUAAGGGAUCGUGUCCUUGGGAGCAAAUCGAGACUUGCUAUGAGAUCUUAUAAUUGAGGGAGAAUUUACUAAUGGAUCGUGUCCUUGGGAGCAAAUCGAGACUUGCUAUGAGAUCUUAUAAUCGAGGCAAAUCCACGCUUGCUCGAUGGCGCUGUGGAGGAGCUGCUCGCCGAUGACGUGGAGAAGCGAGCAGAGAGAUUAAGAAGAACGCUGGGUGCUGGGGGCGAGGCGGCGGCAGCCGCUAGACGCCGGCGAGGCGCCACGAAAGACGAAGGAGAGUGAGAUCGAGAUGGAAGAGUGGGGAGUGGUAGACUGACGCAGCGGCGGCGUCGGCGGCGACGCAGUAGCAAGAGUUGGUGCAGGAGAUGACAGCGAUUGAAUAGAAGAGGGAGAGGAGAUGAGUCGGACAGCGAUUCAAGCACUGACGGUGCUGAAUCGAAGCCGAGUGAGCAGGACCCGAGCGACUGGACGACGAUGAGCAGGGGCGGCGCGGAGGAGACGGCCACAUCUGCUAUUAGUUUGCUGUGAAAUCUGGGUUUAUAAGAGGUUCCACACUGCGCAUGGAAGAAAAUAACUUCCAGAAAGUUUACUGAAUUUGAAGGAGAUCGGCAGAAUUCAGCUCCGUCUCCGACGCGUUGUCGCCUGCCGUGCAGAUUAAUCUUGUUUGAUAUUUGGGAAUUUUAAAAUUUUAAGGUCAUUUUCGUCAAAAGACAUAAAAUGGAAUAAAUAAAUAAAUUAUUUGCAGGCAAAACUGAGUUUAAA